AAAACACUAGUAUAACUGAUAAUACAUUGCCUUGUCAAGGCAAAAUCGCGGGUUAAACCCCCGCGUGUUUUA
rnacentral:tRNA from 1 species